rnacentral:rRNA from 1 species
AGUGAACGCUGGCGGUAGGCCUAACACAUGCAAGUCGAACGGCAGCACAGUAAGAGCUUGCUCUUACGGGUGGCGAGUGGCGGAUGGGUGAGGAAUACAUCGGAAUCUACUUUUUCGUGGGGGAUAACGUAGGGAAACUUACGCUAAUACCGCAUACGACCUACGGGUGAAAGCAGGGGAUCUUCGGACCUUGCGCGAUUGUAUGAGCCGAUGUCGGAUUAGCUAGUUGGCGGGGUAAAGGCCCACCAAGGCGACGCUCCGUAGCUGGUCUGAGAGGAUGAUCAGCCACACUGGAACUGAGACACGGUCCAGACUCCUACGGGAGGCAGCAGUGGGGAAUAUUGGACAAUGGGCGCAAGCCUGAUCCAGCCAUACCGCGUGGGUGAAGAAGGCCUUCGGGUUGUAAAGCCCUUUUGUUGGGAAAGAAAAGCAGCAGGUUAAUACCCCGCUGUUCUGACGGUACCCAAAGAAUAAGCACCGGCUAACUUCGUG